rnacentral:rRNA from 1 species
CCCAAUGACCACGUCACUCAAAAUACGCCUGAUCUCAUCAGUUCUUAGAAGCUAAGCAGGAUUUGUUUGCAUGCAUAGUUCUUGGAAGGUCGACCACCGUGCAAAACAGGUGUUAUAGGAU